rnacentral:lncRNA from 1 species
UUGUGUUCGUGACGCAGUCAGGGACGGAUUAUUGAAUAUGCAAGUUAGAAGAAAAAUCACAGGACAAGCAAAUUGAGUAUUUACUGGCAAAUAAUUGCUCUCUUAAGCUGUGGCUCUCUUCCUAAAUUCUUAACAUUCCCGAGGGUUAGAAAGAAACAGAAAAAUGCAUCGGUACAGAGUACAUUUCAAAAAAAAUACAUAGACUGAUGUUUCAGACUUGUGCAGAAUCUUCUAUCAUCACUAACUGGAUAUUCCUCACAACACUGCUGGCUGUGUUUACUAGAUGCUGCUUUGGACAUGACUCCAGGAGACCAAUAUGGAAAGAGUCAAAGUUAAACAUGUUUCUCCUUGGAUUUAAAUGAAAAUCUCAUGUUCAUCCCUCCAUGUGAACAAUCAACUUUGUCUCAAGUGGAUACUACAAAAUUGGAUACUUCAGUUCAACCUUCUUCAGGUAUUAUACCUCUGAUUU